UAUAGGUAUCAAGUAUAUCAUCAAUAUGAUCAUCAUUCAAUGGCUGUCAUUUCUUCGGGUUACUUAUGUUAAAUAAAUUUUUAUAAUAUUGUGUUUUAAACUGUCUAUUACAAGAAUUGUUUAAUAUUGGUUAGUCUUGGUGUUUUGUUUUCGUACUUGGUUUUUGUUACAUAAUAAGCAAGUACAAUCUAAAAGAUCACCUAAGAUAUCAGUACUUUUUCUCAGCAUGGCGAUUGUGCCUUGCCCAAAAACAUGGGAGCUACCGCUUGCAACAGGAUGCUUUCCAAACGUAGAGGAGAUGCAUCACCAAGCUCAAGUGCUUUUUUUCCCCACUUAUUGCCUGGAAUAAGUAUAAGACACGUUAAACCAAUAUAUCGAAAGGAACACCCAUGUUGCGCAUGGGAAAUUAGCUGCUACUACCAAGGCCCUGUGAACAAUGGAUUAGCAAACCAUAUAUAUCAGAUAGUUCAAAGUAAUAAAUAUAUGAAUGUUACAAUUGGAGAUAUAAACAUUAACAGUUACAAUAACUUUUCUGUGAUAUAUAAUGUUAACUGUGAAUGUAAUGCUGCGGAUUUUUAAUUUGAUGUGACGAUAUCAUUAUUUAUGAUGAUGAAUUAUAAACUGACUGUACUGUUGAUUGUAACCUAAGUGAUAAAUAAUAGUAAUUAAAUAUUUUUUCUAUWUAAUAUCAA